CCAAGGAGUCUAACAUGUGCGCAAGUCAUGGGGUUGUACGAAACCUAAAGGCGCAAUGAAAGUGAAGGCAGCCUCGGGUUUGCCUAGGUAGGAUCCUUCUCCUAUGGAGGGGGCGCACUACUGGCCCGUCUCGUCUGCAUUGCAGUGAGGCGGAGCAAGAGCGUACACGUUGGGACCCGAAAGAUGGUGAACUAUGCCUGAGUAGGACGAAGCCAGAGGAAACUCUGGUGGAAGUCCGUAGCGAUUCUGACGUGCAAAUCGAUCGUCAAACUUGGGUAUAGGGGCGAAAGACUAAUCGAACCAUCUA
rnacentral:rRNA from 1 species